rnacentral:rRNA from 1 species
GUCCUCUUGAAAAUAUUUUGAGGUCUGGCCUGCUCACUGAGCUGAUUUUAAAGAGCCGCGGUAUUUUGACCGUGCAAAGGUAGCAUAAUCAUUAGUCUCUUAAUUGGUGGCUGGAAUGAAUGGCUUGACGAGAAAUCAACUGUCUCUUAAUAAUUUUUUGAAUUUAACUUUUAAGUCAAAAGGCUUAAAUUUAUCUUUAGGACGAGAAGACCCUAUAGAGCUUGACAUUUUAUUUUUAUAUAGUUUUUUGUUGAUCUUUCUAUAUUUAAUGAUAAUGUUUUGUUGGGGUGACAUGAAGAAUAAAUAAACUCUUCAUUAUUAUAUCAUUGAUUUAUGUUUGUUAUUUUGAUCCAUAAUUUAUGAUCAUAAGAUUAAGUUACCUUAGGGAUAACAGCGUAAUUGUUUUUGAGAGCUCAUAUCGACAAAGCAGAUUGCGACCUCGAUGUUGGAUUAAGAAAAAUUUUGGGUGCAG